AUAUCAGUCAUGCAUAGCAUAUCAAUAAGCGGAGGAAAAGAAACUAACAAGGAUUCCCUUAGUAACGGCGAGUGAAGCGGGAAGAGCUCAAAUUUGAAAUCUUCAUGGUUUUACCUUGACGAAUUGUAGUUUAAAGAAGUGUUUUCUGUUGAAGUUUUGGUAAAAGUUCUUUGGAAUAGGACAUCAUAGAGGGUGAGAAUCCCGUAUUUGACCAUUACUUUCAGCUUUGUGAUACACUUUCAAAGAGUCGGAUUGUUUGGGAAUGCAGUCCAAAAUGGGUGGUAAAUUUCAUCUAAAGCUAAAUAUUGGCGAGAGACCGAUAGCGAACAAGUACCGUGAGGGAAAGAUGAAAAGAACUUUGAAAAGAGAGUUAAACAGUACGUGAAAUUGUCAAAAGGGAAGCGUUUGACACCAGUGUUGUUUUCUCGAAAAUCAAUUAAAAAGAGUUGGAUUUUGUGUUGUAUUGACUUUAUCAGGCUUUCUUCACUCUUUUCCAGCUUUUUUUAAUGCACUUUUCGUUUAACAAGUCAACAUCAGUUUCUUUUGUUGUAAAAAGGUCAUUGGAAGGUGGCUUUCUCUUCGGAGAAAGUGUUUAUAGCCUUUGACUCAUGCAAUCGGAGAGACUGAGGUCUGCAGCGUAGAUCCUUCGGGGUUAGAUACAUUUGUGCUAAGUUAUAGCUUUUCAUAGACAACUUGUUGACUAUGUUUAGUCUUGUAGCUUACUCGCUUAUGCUAUUUUACCUACGCUUAGGAUGUUGAACUCUAUCACACACAG
rnacentral:rRNA from 1 species